AUAAUACGUUAAAUAAUGAUGAAUAUAAUGAUAAAAAGAAUAAAGAGCAUAAUAAAAUAAUAAAUAGGACAAGUCAGAAUCAACCUCUUCACACUCUUAGCACAUCAUAUCUCAUUCAACAAGUCAUCAUAUCUAUGAGAAUCCCGUUCUCAGAAUUUUUAGAAUCAUCCUCGACACUUUCUGACAUUCAGGAUAAUCUGUUCAUAUAUGGUAUUGAUAUUUCAUGUCACUACAGUUGCUGUAUGCCCUUGGUUAAACUCAUACAGCAUAAUAUGACAUGUGCUCUUCAGACACUGUCAUUUCCUAUAGACUUUAAUGGCACAAGAGAUUCCUGUGCAAUUGUUGUUCUCUGCCUCAUAUUACAUGAAGAGCAUGCC
rnacentral:lncRNA from 1 species